GGGGUAAUGGCCUACCAAGGCGACGACGGGUAGCCGACCUGAGGGGGUGACCGGCCACACUGGGACUGAGACACGGCCCAGACUCCUACGGGAGGCAGCAGUGGGGAAUAUUGCACAAUGGGCGAAAGCCUGAUGCAGCGACGCCGCGUGAGGGAUGACGGCCUUCGGGUUGUAAACCUCUUUCAGCAGGGACGAAGCGCAAGUGACGGUACCUGCAGAAGAAGCACCGGCUAACUACGUGCCAGCAGCCGCGGUAAUACGUAGGGUGCAAGCGUUGUCCGGAAUUACUGGGCGUAAAGAGUUCGUAGGCGGUUUGUCGCGUCGUUUGUGAAAACCAGCAGCUCAACCCCGAGCACUGCAUGCGAUACUGCUUGGCUCGAGAGAGGUAGGGGCGAGUGGAAUUCCCGGUGUAGCGGUGGAAUGCGUAGAUAUCGGGAGGAACACCUGUGGCGAAGGCGGCUCGCUGGACCUUUUCUGACGCUGAAGCGCGAAAGCGUGGGUAGCAAACAGGAUUAGAUACCCUGGUAGUCCACGCCGUAAACGAUGGGUA
rnacentral:rRNA from 1 species